ensembl:lncRNA
CCAUUCGCAGCAAGCUGUUAUACUUUAAUAACAAUAUAUUAUAGAGGGCUUUGUGAGUUCAUAUUGUAUCCGUUAAGGGACGGGAAGCCAGUGGAGGGGUGAUGUGAUCCCGGGAGGUUCUGGAUGUACUGGAGUUGAUUUAGGAUUUUGGAUGAUGUUUCAUGAAGGAUACUUUGUCUUAAUGAGUCAGCACCAACAAAUUCCUGCUCGCAUUACAGAAUUAAUUCUGUUUUUGAUAUUAACACAUAUUUUGUACAAAAAUUUAUUUUGGGGGCGGAAAUAAUAUUUUCUCCGCUUUUGAGCUGGCCUUGUAUUCGCCCAGAGUACAAUCCAACUGACCUCUGAAAUAGUGAGGCUCACCCAGGUGGAAUUAACCUGUGGUUAUUGACUGAACCUUUCCCAGGAGAAGGGGACUGCAGAGGGAGAUGAAAGACCUUCAGCCGAUGUGUAUUCAUUUCUGUUGUUAGAGGGGAAGAACGCAAAGGUGCACGCAUGUGAGGGAUGACUUCAUUCUCCUGGCAAAGAUGACAAUGACAAAAUUCAAUCAAUAAAUGACUUGAGCUGCUCAGCAACAGAACACGUGAUCCUUGCCCCUGGAUUGGCUCUGUUUUCACUGUAGUUUUGACCCUGGAAUAUUCCACACAUUUUCAAACCCAUAUGAUCAGUCUGUGCUGCAGUGAAACAUCGUACUCCACUAAUCAGCCUGCAUUGUCUUCACUGCGGUGCUAUCUCUGUUACCAUGGACACGCAUUCGUGGCAGUCAGUAAUAGUCAGCAGUCAGGCCUCUUUGGAUAGAUUGUGUUGGACAGACGCAGGCCGGCAUUUUCCAGUCUUUAUGCUUAGCUAAGCUAACUGACUGCUGGCUUUAGCGUCAUAUUCAGUGCAGCACGGCAGUCAUGAGUGGUUUCAUAAACAUUAUGAUGCAAAGAGUCCUACUCAUCUGAUAAUGUUUUAGUCUGCUUUUCCUCAUUUUUAAUUCAGGAUGUAAUGUCCAAUUAAAGGAGCAGUUUAGUUUUAAUGCAGUUUCAAGACGCUCCCUCUUUGGUAAAAAGUAUUUUAGCGAGUUAGCAUGAGAUGUCACGCUCAUCUCUGUGGAGAGAUUUUUAUCUUUCAAUCUAAUGAACAAUUAAUUUUUCCCCCGAUGAAAUUUAUUUCAUUGCAGUUUGGAGUGCAACCCUAAAUUGUCUCUCUGGCCCUGGAGGAAUAAAGAAAGCUGUGUUUUAUCCUCUUUAUUUCUAAGCACUUAGCCUGAUCAGAUUAUCAUUCAGUUAUUAAAUGACCCGGGACCUUAAUAACUUAAAAGCAGACCAAUGGAAUGCAAAAAUUGAAGGGCACUUCAGGGUCACCCAAAUCACCAAAUCUGUCUUGAGAUCCCACUUAGUCCUGACGUUUAAGCCUUUUUCUGCCAUCUUCCAUUAUCGCAAUUAAGAUUUACAAGUCUUAAGAGGGGAUUGUUUUUUGUUUUGCUUGCAAACCUUACAUUGUUAAAUCCUUGACGUAAACAACAUUUUC